AUGGCGUCGGCUGUAGACGCACCUUGCCCGCGGGUGGGGCGGCAGUCCGCAUCCCGGAGGCUGGAAGCGAGCUUGGGCUGGUCGUGAGUUUUCCCUUGCCUCGAGUUAACCCUGAGGCACGUCUCCCGGACUGGGAGAAACGCGCUGCCCGUGUCUCGCCCUUUCCUUCGCGUCCCGUGACUGCCCCGAGGGCGCAGACGCGUGGUCCGAGAACCUGGGGGUUCGCUCCUGGAGGCGUAGGGACAGGUCAGACGCCAGAGCCACGGUCGGUGACAGCGAGGGGACGAGGAGGCUCUGCCGCGACCCUACCCUCAGACUUCUUUCUCCCGACUCUUGGAAGAAGCACCCGGUAGCUAGAGCCAGGCCUCUCCCGAGAACGCAAGCGCGGAGUCCCAGGGCAGGCUUCUAAUGUGAGGAAAAACACGGAAUGACAAGUGUGGGAAAGAGCAAGCACUAAAUUACUGUCAGAAAAAUAAACGGAGUAGCACAGUGGUGCUCAGUGAUUUACGGGGGCAAUUAGUCACCACCCCACGGCACUGCUGAGGACAGCAUGGCAGCAGACACGUCAGGCCCAUGAGGAAGAAGAGGCUUUGCGCUGCUCUCCAGACAACUUUUCAAACAACACAAGAAUCUGAGUACAUUAGGUUCCAUGUCUUCAGUCUGGGGUCUGGAUCAAUGUCUCUCCUGGAAAUCAAGCUAGCAGGGACUCAUCUCUCCACGUUUCAUUACAGUGUUCAUCUUCAAUACAGAAGAAACGAUUCAAUGCUUCCCCAGUCAACAUUCUACCAGUUUGUUUAGUGUGGUCAUCAGGAAGUUGAUUCUACAGUUUAUAUGGAAAAACUUAGAAUGUCCAACACAAUAUUGAAGAAGAACCAAGUUGGAAGACCAACACAUCCUGAAUUCAGAACUUGCUAUAAAGCAGUCUGACGAAACUAGAGCUUCCACAAGGCGCGAAAAUUGAAAAGCAACAUGGACUGCGAUAGGACAAUGAAGAUUCCUGCUAGGAAGAAGUCCUUGGCCUCCCGCUCUAUAAAUACCCCAGCACUUCCUCUUCGCUCUCUCGCUGUCUUCCUGCCUCCUGCUCACCUCCCUACAAUAAAGAUCUCCUGCCAGACCUCUCGGUCAUCUGCCUUCAAUCCUGAGGUCAUCACUCUUCAAGAGAGGAUAAUCCCAGGGACAGCAGGAUCUGCUUCAUCACUUGGAUUUAGGAGUAAGGAACCCCUCAGGCAGCUAAACACUAACAAUGACCCACCAUUAAGCACACUGAGAGAAGAGCAGGACAAGGAGUCCGGUGCAAGAAGAAUCCAGAAGCACCUGCUGACAAUGCCUAUGGGGGUCACAGAGCACUGUGAGCUCUGCUCAUUGAACUGCAAUGAAAACUCUUUCUCCUCCUGAGACCCUUGGGUGUGGGUACAGUAACCGUGCAGAUGGCAGUCAAUGCAUGAACUCAACAGACUGAAAAGAAACUGGACUAAGGAGUCAAGAUAGACCUGGGUUUCACUGGGCACUGCGGUGCACACCUGGGGCUGAGGUAGGAGGAUCACAAAUUUCAGCCUGUGGA